rnacentral:lncRNA from 1 species
GUUGACUAGAUUUUUUUUUUUUUACAUCUCUUCUCCUUUGCCAUUGGGCCUGAUGGCCUAGAGGAACUGAGCCUCUACAAUCAUUUGGUUACAUACAUUUUACCUUGUGUUUUUCGUUUAUGACAUUUCCUAGGUGAUUACAAUGAACCAAACUGUGAUCUUUUAGGAAUGGGAAUAUUAUCCUUGUCACUGUAUAUAACGCUCCUUAACGUUGCCUUGAUAUCAAUACCACAAAUUCUUGAUCUAUAUCAUGAAAGUAUAUAUGUUACACUGGCAGCUAACAUGCACGGAAUUUGAAGAACUAAGAAUGGAACUUUUUAUUUUUUUUGCUUCAAUUUUAACAAUAGUUAAAACUCUAGUUGUAGAUAGGAUCCUUCUACUAACUAGUAACUUAUAUAAUUAAAAGACUUGACUUGAGAUUGUGAUUCUCUUUUUUGUCAACUGAGAUUGUGAUUCUUAUGCGCCUUACUAAUUGCAUAGUUUCAAAUUAUAUUUUUUAUGGGCCGUAGGAUGCUAGAAGAUCAAGUCCAUCAAAUUCACUCUAUGAAUUGAACUCUUGCAAUAGAUCAUGGACAUCACAAAUUAAGUAGGGUGGAGUUUGUGAUAAGAUGUAGGUUUUUUUUUCCUUUGAAACACAGAUAUAGGUAUCAAUCAAAAUCUUACAUGGAAAAAAAAAUUAUUGUAUUUAUAGACCUACGAACAUGAAUUUCAUUGAGAUUUCGUUUUAAGGGGGAGUUUAGUUUUCAAUAUGUCUAUCCAGUUAUUCUUUCCGCGAUUGCUGUUAGGUUUCUUAGAAUAACAAAAAGUUUAUCAUUCAACUUUGAUAAGAAAGUAUGAGGUAUUAACUAGACUUGAUUAACAUAACUUGUUAUUGUGCAUAUAUAUGUCCAUAAGUCUGAAUUCAGUGGCUGAAAGGUUGAUUAUAUAUAACCAAAAUUUUGAGAUGGACUUAGUGGUUAUUAGAUUUGUAUAUUGCAAAGUUAUAAAUAAAUAAAUAGAGACCAGAACUUUGAGAUGGAUAUUGUGGUUAUUAUAUUUGCUUUUUUGCAAAGUUAUAAAUAAAUAGAGUUAUACAUUUACUUUUUAAGAAAUAAUUUUUUACAUAUAUGCAUUGACAUUAAAAUUUAAGACGAGAUUAUGUACCAGAAAGUUAAAAAAGAAGUCUGUUAUAGCACAUGAAUCUGUCAUACAAAAAAAACUAUUAGAUGUGUUCCUAACACUUUGUAUAGAAGCCGUAAGUAAGGUUCAUCACCAGAAACUGUAGAAUAAAGUGUUAGUAGAAUAUUUGAUGAUUCAUCUAAUUAACUUGUCUCUAAUAUAUUUGUUUUGUAUUUUUGAAAUGGUUUGGCAUGAGUAGUAUCUAAUACUUUCUCUUUCUUGAUUUGACUGCAGCAUGGCUAAGAUCCUCACGCGUUAUAAAACACAACAUGCUGACGAACUUAAAACGGUGGUAAGAAUUUCUUAGCCACACACGCAUAUGUAGUUGAGAUGAGCCUUUAGAAGAUAGUUUAUAUCGAGAGGGUAAACUGCUAUAUGUGAAUACUUUGUGUAGUUCUUUAACAUAUUAUAGACUUCGUUCUUCUCUGUUGAUAUUGCAGUAAAAAGCCUACCGCAAGGUUUUCAGUUUGUUGUAUACCAAACUUUAUUCUCGAGGGUUAGACCUAUAUCUUGUCAGCCAUACAUAGAUUCAUUGCUCCCAAAGUCAUGUACGACACAUGUAAUUGAGAUGAGCACAUAGAAUCGUAUCUAGCUACAAUAGUCCACUGAGAUGUUUUGUGUAGUGCCUAAACAUUGUUUAGGGAGAACAACACAGGUAACAAAUAAUUUAAUACUAAAGAUUCAAGCCAUACAAUACUGCUAGUGUUGCAUUACAUGGUCUACGGGACGGUUGUGAACCACUUGUGGUGUACCAAACUUAACUGUUGAAGACCACAAGAAAUUCACAAUAUUUUUUAUCGUUCCGUAUUAGUAUUAGGUAAAUAUUAAUGGGUCUUAAUCUCUACAUAAUCCUAGUACUAGAUAUUAAUUGGCUCUAUUAGGAUUAGACCUUAAUGGGUCAUAGACCUUAAUCUAUAGUUAAUCCUAAUAUUAGAUAUUAAUGGGUCACCUAAUCCUAAUAAUCCUCCAUUUCUUUUUUAUGGCAGGAUCUAGCAGAAAAAACUCGGAAUUAUCUUUCACACGAGGAGUUACUGGAAAUAGUCCAAUGGUUAGCACUAUCCUUUUUCCCCUUCACCCAGGGGCGGUCCUGGGCACAGCGGACUGAAACACCGGCUUAGGGCCCCCAAAUUUUUUUAAAAAAUUUACAUAAGAAGGGGCCCCUAAAUUUGUAAAAAAAAUUUUUUUUAUAAAACCCUUACUAAAUUGUUUUAGGCCCCCAGCAUCUCAGGGACGGCCCUGCCUUCACCUUCUGGAAAAAUAGUUUGAUAAAAAAACUCUUCUAUUUUUGUUGGUUUAUAAGUAUCUAUAUAUAUGUGCAGCAAGCUUGAAGAAGCAAAAAAUGAUAACAUGAGUAUAGAGUCCCUAAUUUCCCUGGAAGAGCAAUUCAAGAGUGCUCUGUCUUUAACUAGAGCUAGGAAGGUAUUUGUGCUGCUAAGAAGUGAUUCAGAUCAAUUAUUGUUAAUCUUGUGUUUACUUUUCAUUCCAAGAACAGUCUUUGGACACUUCUUGGCUUUGGAUCAUGUUUCCAGUUUGACAUAAUCCUUGAUCUCAUGUUGCAGGCAGAGCUAAUGAUGGAGUUUCUGAAGACCCUUCAAGAAAAGGUUAACGGUCUUGAUUUUUGUUCGCCGUCCUGGCCACUGUAGUUUUCCCAUCCUCGAGAGUAUUCAGAUCACUAGACAGACCAAGUUUAGCUCUCUAGAUAUGUAUAUUGGUCUUGUCUUAGUUCCUGACUUACUAUUGGCUUCACUUAAACAUUAACAAAUCUUACGAUAUAUUGGUGUUUCAGAACAUGUUAAGAAAACUGAUGGAGUUGUGAUGUUGUUUAAACAGGAGAAGCUGUUGAGGGAAGAGAACAAGGUUUUGGCUAGCCAGCUUACAAAGGUACCAUCUAUUAUGCUUCUAGAAGCUAAUAGUUAAUACUUAAUAGACAUGUAGAUGGACAUCAGAUAGAUGCCCCUACAGAGUACAGACUUGCAUAUACUUCAUAUAUACAUAUAUAUGAAAGCUAGGGGAGCUUGUGGAUGCUAGAAUUUUUUUUAGUGAACACAUGGUUCGAUUUUUUAUAACUUUUACGAGGUUUAAAAACUAGAUUUUUUUUUUGUUAAUAUUUAGUAGCAUGCCGAAAAAUAUGUAAGAGUGUUUAUUACAGAUAAAGUUAGGACUUUGAUGGGUAGUACCUACUUUUUUAUUCUAUUUCUAGUAGGUUCCAUUCUAUAUAUUUCUAUUACUAUCAUACCACACAAUUUCUAGAGAGAUUAAAUUUAGAAAACUUACAAAAAGAAAUACCAUGGUUUUUUUUUGUUCUAAGGAAAUACCAUUCUUAUAAUGAAGAUUUCUUGUUAAUAACUAGGAAAAAACUGUAAGUUUCUUACAGAUGAUGCAUGAAAGCUAAGAACUUUGAUGACUACAUAAUUUCUUUAAACCAUGCUUUUAAAUCUAGAUAUUUCUUGUUAGGUAAUAAUAUUUAGUAUCUCCAGAAAAAGAAGUGUAAGCGAGUUUCUUACAGAUGAAGAAGAGCAGGUUUCUGGAAGCAGAAGAUGAGAGAGCAAUGUCACUGGCAAAAAGUUUCGGUAACAACACACCGGAGACUCUCUCGCUUCUCAAGUAACAACCACCAUCAAUCAACGUACGACUGAUUUUUCACCAUCCUGUUUCAGAAAUAAAAAUGUAAAAUAUUCAGAUUUGUAAAUCAACAUGGAGGCUAUACAUAUCUUAAAAUCAUCUUCCCCCUGAUACGCUAUCCAAGGGAAAUGUAACGAUCUGUGUUGUUACCUUCAAAGCGAGGGUCACAGUUUCAUUUGUUAUCUGUGUGCUUG